rnacentral:lncRNA from 1 species
GUCACCGAGUCGUUGGCGCUGUCAUGGCGGGUGUGCUGAAGAAGACCACUGGCCUUGUGGGAUUGGCUGUGUGCAAUACUCCUCACGAGAGGCUAAGAAUAUUGUACACAAAGAUUCUUGAUGUUCUUGAGGAAAUCCCUAAAAAUGCAGCAUAUAGAAAGUAUACAGAACAGAUUACAAAUGAGAAGCUGGCUAUGGUUAAAGCGGUAAGUAGCUAAGUCAGUUUUGUUGUCUUGUGUAACAUUUAACCAAAAAAGUUUAGUUCCUUAUUUUUUAUAUAUUCGACACACUUUUCUUCUAUUCUCCUUCCUUGAAUGCUCUUUUCCCAUCAUUCCUCCCUUUUAUUCAGCAAACUCUUGUUUAUUGAGUGUUUUCUAUAUGCAGGCCUCUGUUACAUACUGGAGUUUGAGACUAGGAUCAGAUCCUUCCUUGAAGUAACAUUGUAGCUGUUCCUUUUACCUCUCUUCACUAUUUAGUCCUUUAUUGAUCUUUUGCUUUUUAUCUUGGAUAUAUCAAUCUUGAUCUCCUUUUUCUAAUCUUAGAGAACAAUAAAAGCAAAACAAAAAAGGGC